UCAGUCGACUCCUACGGGGAGGCAGCAGUGGGGAAUAUUGCACAAUGGGGGAAACCCUGAUGCAGCCAUGCCGCGUGUGUGAAGAAGGCCUUCGGGUGUAAAGCACUUUCAGUAGGGAGGAAGGUAGUGUAGUUAACACCUGCACAUUUGACGUUACCUACAGAAGAAGCACCGGCUAACUCCGUGCCAGCAGCCGCGGUAAUACGGAGGGUGCGAGCGUUAAUCGGAAUUACUGGGCGUAAAGCGCAUGCAGGCGGCCUGUUAAGUCAGAUGUGAAAGCCCGGGGCUUAACCUCGGAAUUGCAUUUGAAACUGGCAGGCUAGAGUCUUGUAGAGGGGGGUAGGAAUUUCAGGUGGUUAGCGGUGAAAUGCGUAGAGAUCUGAAGGAAUACCAGUGGCGAAGGCGGCCCCCUGGACAAAGACUGACGCUCAGAUGCGAAAGCGUGGGGAGCAAACAGGAUUAGAUACCCUGGUAG
rnacentral:rRNA from 1 species